rnacentral:snRNA from 1 species
GUCCCUUCGGGGACAUCCGAUAAAAUUGGAACGAUACAGAGAAGAUUAGCAUGGUCCCUGUGCAAGGAUGACACGCAUAAAUCGAGAAAUGAUCCAAAUUUAU